UCGAGCGAAGCGAGAGAACGUUGCCGCAGGCAAUGGCCCGAAGGCGAGGCGCUUUAGCGCCGAGUAAUCCUUCCCCCCACCA
rnacentral:sRNA from 1 species